CCCCCCGUUGACUUAGACACCAAUGGAUUGGUCAGGUCAGCUAACAAAACUAAUUAAAUAAUCAUAUCUUAUUAACUUGCCUUAGAUGCCAAUAGGUCGAUUGAUCAGAGUUGGUUGGCUCAAGCGAAUUGGACUCAAACCAGCAAGCCAAAUUAGGUACUUAGGUUAAUCGAUUCUACAUAUGAGACUCAAUCGAUUUGAUCAACAAUAAUUGUAUGAUCAUUAACUUAAUUGAUCU
rnacentral:lncRNA from 1 species